rnacentral:rRNA from 1 species
UACGUAGGGGGCAAGCGUUGUCCGGAAUCAUUGGGCGUAAAGCGCGUGUAGGCGGCCCGAUAAGUCCGCUGUGAAAGUCCAGGGCUCAACCCUGGGAUGCCGGUGGAUACUGUCGGGCUCGAGUCCGGAAGAGGAGUGUGGAAUUCCUGGUGUAGCGGUGAAAUGCGUAGAUAUCAGGAGGAACACCGGUGGCGAAGGCGGCUCUCUGGUCCAAAUCUGACGCUGAGGUGCGAAAGCUAGGGGAGCAAACGGG